rnacentral:rRNA from 1 species
GGCUUAAUACAUGCAAGUCGAGGGGCAGCGGGGGUAGCAAUACCUGCCGGCGACCGGCAAACGGGUGCGGAACACGUACGCAACUUUCCCAAAACUGGUGAAUAGCCUUCCGAAAGGGAGAUUAAUACACCGUAAGAUGUAGGAGUGGCAUCACUCUUACAUUAUAGCUCAGGCGGUUUUGGAUGGGCGUGCGGCUGAUUAGGUAGUUGGCGGGGUAACGGCCCACCAAGCCUGCGAUCAGUAACUGGUGUGAGAGCACGACCAGUCACACGGGCACUGAGACACGGGCCCGACUCCUACGGGAGGCAGCAGUAAGGAAUAUUGGUCAAUGGACGCAAGUCUGAACCAGCCAUGCCGCGUGCAGGAUGACGGCCCUCUGGGUUGUAAACUGCUUUUAUAGGGGACGAAAAAAGGGCUUUCUAGCUCGUCUGACGGUACCCUAGGAAUAAGCACCGGCUAACUCCGUGCCAGCAGCCGCGGUAAUACGGAGGGUGCAAGCGUUAUCCGGAUUUACUGGGUUUAAAGGGUGCGUAGGUGGGUCGGUAAGUCAGCGGUGAAAUCUUCGAGCUUAACUCGGAAACUGCCAUUGAUACUAUCGAUCUUGAAUCAUCUAGAGGUAAGCGGAAUAUGUCAUGUAGCGGUGAAAUGCUUAGAUAUGACAUAUAACACCAAUUGCGAAGGCAGCUUACUAUGGAUGUAUUGACACUGAGGCACGAAAGCGUGGGGACCAAACAGGAUUAGAUACCCUGGUAGUCCACGCCCUAAACGAUGGAUACUCGACAUCAGCGAUACACUGUUGGUGUCUGAGCGGAAGUAUUAAGUAUCCCACCUGGGAAGUAC